rnacentral:rRNA from 1 species
UACUCCUACGGGAGGCAGCAGUGAGGAAUAUUGGUCAAUGGGUGAGAGCCUGAUCCAGCCAUCCCGCGUGCAGGAAGACGGCCCUAUGGGUUGUAAACUGCUUUUAUACAGGAAUAAACCAUUUUACGAGUAGGAUGUUGAAGGUACUGUAUGAAUAAGCAUCGGCUAACUCCGUGCCAGCAGCCGCGGUA